UACGUAGGGGGCAAGCGUUGUCCGGAUUCAUUGGGCGUAAAGAGCUCGUAGGCGGCUUGGCAAGUCGGGGGUGAAAACUCCAGGCUCAACCUGGAGACGCCACCCGAUACUGCCAUGGCUUGAGUCCGGUAGGGGACCACGGAAUUCCUGGUGUAGCGGUGAAAUGCGCAGAUAUCAGGAGGAACACCGGUGGCGAAGGCGGUGGUCUGGGCCGGUACUGACGCUGAGGAGCGAAAGCGUGGGGAGCGAACAGG
rnacentral:rRNA from 1 species